GUAUAGAAUGAGUGUAGGAGCUCUGCAGCAAGAGAGAAUGAGAAAGGGUUCCUAAAACAAAAGUGAGCAUCUUCCCACUUUAAGAACAGCAGGAUUUUUCUCCUUUCUGUGGAAGAUUAGCUUCCCACCCUGGUAGCUGCCCCAAGACUAUUUGGAAUUGAGCUCUUGGUGCUUUUCACCCUAAUUUCCACACAGGUGCCUGUUGGCAAAAAGCAAUGUUGGCCUCCAAUGGUAGCAUUAACUGCCUUCGUACAAGAAAAAUUACUUUCAUGUGAAGCAGAAUAAAGGAUUUUCAUGGUAUUACAGGUUGAAGAGAGUUGGAGAAAUGUGCUUGACUGUAUCCCAAGAAAAGAUCAAAGCAAAGAUCCCUGACAUGCUACCUCCUCCCAGUCCAUGUCAUACUGCCUUGGCAGAUCACAACCUGAACUCUUAGCUCAAUGAUAACCUGAAUUAUCUACUUGAAGAGGAAGAUUCAGAUGAAGGAUGGGAAGCCAAGUUCUGUCUUUUCCUUGUGCUGGAGCUGACUGUUCCUUGUGGGCAAGACUGCAGGACUUGCCUCUUAACUUGGUCUUGGCUCAUGCAACUCAGCAUUGCUGAUCAUGGUGCAAGUUCUUUGAUACUCGAUGUUUUUCCUGAAAUCCGAGUCUUUCAGGCAGGUAAAUCUCUGAGAAUUUCUCUUGAUAAUCCUUUGUGCUAGUAAGAGAGGAAGGAGUUAAAAAAUGUGGCUAAGCACAGCCCUAAAGGUCAAACUACAACACACACAACACUUAGAAACAUAAUCCUCAUUCAGAAAGGGAAAAUUAUAAGUAUUUUAAUUUAAUUGAUUUAAAUUAAAUUAAUUUAAAUUAAAUUAAUUUUUUUAAAUCAUAAAUAUUUUCACUUAAAGACUUUGCUUUUUCUAGACCUGAUUUUUUUAAAACAUUGGCUUACUUCCUGAAUCAGUUCCUUUGGUUUUAACUUGGGUCAAAGGUUUGGCAACUGUUUCCUCAUAUUUUAAUUUUAAUGAGACUAUCCCAGAUUUUUAUAUUGUCUAUUAAAACAGUAUUUAAAAACUGCAAAGUCUGCAAGGCCUACUUUUCUGGUCAGUACAGAGUGCCCUCAUAUCACAUUGCUGUUAAUGGAAAUUAAUUGUAUCGUGCCUAUAGACCUUGGAGCAGUUUUACAGAUAUUAGAUUCUUAGACAUCUGUGAUGUUUUAUUAUUGAUUAAAGAACGAGAGGAAAUCUCAUGGUUUAAGACCUUGUAGUGGGAUUUAUGAAUUAGUUCUUUUCCUAUGUGACCCUUGGCAGGUCAUUGAAUCUGUCUUUCAGUUUCCCAUCCGUGAAGCAGGGAAUAAUGAUGAUUUUCUGCUGCUGCUCUUUGUCCAUCAUCCCUGCUUAAAUAGUGCACUCUUUGGAACAGGACUUGCUACUGGGUAGUGCAGAGAAAUUUCAUUCUGAGUUCAGAUCCCCAGCUGUAAUACAAAUAAUUAAUAUCAGCAUUAAACAGUCAAAGGUAUUACAUCCAAGAUGCAAUUGGCCUGAGGCCUGCAUA
rnacentral:lncRNA from 1 species